ACCUUGAACAGGCCAUCUUCAAGGAAAAACCAGAUCGAAUUUCCUUGGAAGAGGAUAAUGUGGCCAACAACUUUGCAAAUGCUUCAAAAGUAGAUGCUUCAGAAGGCACAUCUAAACCUAGCAAGUUAUAACCAUAAGCUGUUACACAAGCUACACUUUUCUUAAGGAGUGAAAUCCCUUUCUGCAAGUCCUUGUGUGUUUCAACAGAAUGUGGAGAUGCAGCAGAGUAAUUGAAGCUGCUACUUCGAGAAGAAUCAAG
rnacentral:misc_RNA from 1 species